rnacentral:lncRNA from 1 species
ACCCUAGCCUCAUUCCCUCUUUACCAGCAAACCCUAGCCCUCUUUUAACCCCAUCAUUGAUCCACCACCAAGAACGGCUACCGCUGGUUUUGGGGCUCCGACUAAUCGAUUUUCAGCCUGAAAAUCCCUUCUUGACUUCAAUUUGAACAAAGCAAAAGAGGAUCAGCGGCCUAUUCACAAGGUAAGAUCGCUAUUUUAUUUCGUUAUACUAAAAAAACAAAACGAAAAGAAAAAAAAUGAAACAGAUUCGAAGAACAAAAAUAUAAGGUGCUUGAAAUCAUCUUUCAAUAAUUUUUUAUUGCUCUUCUAUUCUCUAUGCAUAUGUGUGUAAAAAAAAUACAAUCGAUUCCCCCUGGCUUUAUAGCCGAAUGUUCAAAAUAAAAAAAAUACAAUUUUUCUUUAUUUGCUUUCGUAUUGGCUAUUGUUGCUGCUAUUGUUUGUCUGUUUCUUUGCAGGUACGGAGGCCCGUUGGCGCGGUGGUACGUGGCGCUUGACGUGGGGCGUGACUGGUGGAGCGCUGGAGGGUACGGAGCCAGGCUUUGGGCGCAUGGAGGCCGUACAUAGGGCGUUGGCUGCGGCGCACCUAAGAAACCUAGGGUUUCUGAAACUGUUUUAACCUUUGGGCCUCUGUGCCGUGUAAUCUUAGGCUAGGAUAUUAAUUUGGGUAUUGGGUUAGUGAUUGGGUCAAAGUCUGUAAAUGGACAUUUAAUGGACUAUUAAGAUUUAGAUUUUUUUUUACUUAUUUGGGCUUUAAUGUAGACCCGGGCAAAUUGGCCCGUUUACAGGUCUGAUUGAGUUGGACUUAAGUAUAAUGUUAAUAUAUUUUAUGCUUGCCUAAGGCCGGGUCGGUCUAAAAUAUGGGCUUAAAAAUUUGUCCAAACCCGCCCAUAUUUGUAAAAGACUAACCCAAAUCAUUUUAGGUAUGCUCAUAUUAUUUUUAAGAUUUUAAAAAAUAUAUUUAUAUUAUAUUAUUUUAUUGAAUUUUUUUAUAUAGUCAUCUUAAUAUUAUUUUAAUAUUUACAUUAGAGUAGUAAUAUAUAUUUAGUAUAGGCUUAUUUUUUUAAUGUGUUUUAAAUUACAUAAUAUAUAAAAAUAACAUAAUAUAAAGUAUUACAAACUUAAAAUCGGGUCGAGCUCAGGCUUUAAAUGUUCAAGCUCAUAUUUUAAAUAAAUCUAUUUUUUGAGUCUAAUAUUUUUAUUCAAAUAUUUCUAGAUUUUGAACGAGCCUUUAUGCCUGAGUAGGUAACCUGAUCCAUAACCAAGUGUAAGUGGGCCUUAAACAAAAUUUGGGCUUGGAUGAAGGUUUCUAAAAUCAUAAUGGCUUUUAUGUAAUUUGAGAUAGAUAUGAAGAAUAUAUAAGCAGUUAGAAUAAGAAAAGUGGAAGAGAAAAUGUUUUUUAUUAGCUCUUAAUUCUCAACCAAUGCCAACAACCCGGUUUGGCGGCAUGGAAAUUGAUUCGGAAAUUAAAUUUAAAAAAUAUAUAAAAACAAGGUGAAAAGACAGAGGUUGAGAUUUUGAUAGGAGGGAAGAUGGCCAUCGCAAGUCUCUUGGGAUGGCUCGUGACCUUCUUCUUCCUCAUAUCUCUUCUCGCCAUUAUUUGUUAUCAGGUCAUUUUCUUUCUUUUUAAUAUAAUUUUAAUUUUGAUAACAAUCGUUUGAUAAUGGCAAAUUUUGCAGCUUAUGUGCUUUAUUGAUUUGGAAAUUGAUUACAUAAAUCAUUAUGAUUCGGCGGUACGGAUAAACAAGGUUGUGAUGCCGGAGUUCAUAAUCCAAGCCGUUUUCUGUUUGGUCUGUUUAAUUACGGGAUAUUAUUUUUUUUUCCCGUCUCUCCCAUAUUCAUACUAUAAUUUCAUAUUGUAAGUUUCUAAAAUCCUUCAAAAAUUAUCCUCAACUAUUUUUAUUUCUUUUUUUUUUUUUGAAAAAAAAGGGUUUUUGGAAUUGAAUGAACAGGUAUAGAAGGAGAAAACAUUUGGUUGAUGUAACAGAGAUAUUUAAUCAGCUCAAGUGGGAAAAGAAACAACGACUAAUCAAACUUGGCUAUCUUAUUAUCCUUUUAAUUGUUUUUAUAUUUUGGUAAUUAUGAUCUCACCAAAUUACAAAUAUUAUAUAUUUUUUCAUUACUCAUAAAAUUGGUUUAAAUAUGUUUCAGGUUGAUUUGGACAGUAGGAAAAGAUGAUGAUUAUUAAACAGGCUUUGGAUCAAAUAUUCUUCCAACCUUUGUUUUUCCAAUUUACCGUAAUAUUUUUUUAUUCACAAUUUGUACAAUGUAUGAGCAUUGGGUUAUUAUAAUACAAUGAGAUUUUUAUUUUUUUAUUUUUUCAACAACUUUGUGAUUAAUAUAUGAAUGCAACAACCAUACUUUACCUAAAUUAUGUAAAAACUAAUUUAUCAUUGACAUUAAAAUUACUCCGAAAAAGUAUUUUUAAUAAGUUUAAGAAUUUUUGUCGUCACUGUUAAAGAUUUUUUUUAGGUAACUUCAUUGGAAAAAUAACUUUUUUUUUGAACUUUUUUGUUUCACACUUGUGAACUUAUUCAAUAUAAAUUUCAUAAACUUUAUUAUAUAAUACCAUAAUGAUAGGGGGUGAAGAUUGUAAAGCCUCGACUUUUAGCUCUUAUAUAUAUACACACAUCUAACAUAUCAUUUAUCAAUCAACAUAACAUCAUAUAAAUACCAAACAACAUAGGCGCGCUCAUCACAAGAUAAACUUUUAUUUCAUUUUAUACAUCAUCACAUCCAUAUCAUGAACUCUUUUCAUACCUUUCCAAGUUUCAACUCAUCAUAAACACAUUCUUACUCAGACACAUUAGUGUCACUUUCAACACUUUCUGAAAUAACUCGCUUAAAAAGUAUUUCUGUCUAUAAGUAAAAUAAAAAUUUGAUCGGAUUAUACGCAUCACUCUAUCACAGAUUUAUAUGGCAUGUAUCUCUAAAGACUUUACAUUAUUUUCUUUUGAUCAUGAAUUUCAUUAUUUCUAUAAUUCUAUAGUUUCUUUUUGCACAUAUUUACCUAGUUUAUCAUUUAUAUCCAUUUUCUAUCCUUUCAUUUCACAUUUUAUUUUCAAUUCAAUUUUCACAUUUGCCUCUCAGAGCUUUUACCAACGGGAAUAGAAGAUAAUAUCAUAUGAAUCUUAUUAUCAAGUGUUUUAUCACAUAUAUUAGCUUGGAAAACCAAAGAAGGAUAGAGUAGUACCGCUUGUGAAUCAAUCAAACUUGCGAUAAUUUCUGUCUAUUAGCAUAUUUAUCUAACCUUUUAAUAUAUUUAUUAUAGCAUCCAAACAUUAACAAUUGCAUAUGCCUCUGAAAAUAUCAGUACAUAUAAAAUACCCACAUAAUAUCCCAAAAAUUUACUAUAAUAUACCCAAUUAUAACUGCUAUAUUCAAAUAUUUUUGCAAUUUAUUCACCAAUCUAUUGACUAGUAUAGUCAUCAACAAUUUCACAUCAUUCAGUUCACUCAAGAAAUUAAUUUGGAAGGAAUUUUCAGUCAACCAUUCUGUAAAUACCAUAUUUGAACAAAUCGAUUUUCCAAUAAAUAACUUCUUUAUUUAACAGUGGUACUGUAUAUCCCAGCUAGUUUUCAGAAAAAUUUGAUGUCUCUAUUCAGAACCCAUCUUUACCUAUUAACGCAUUCUCAGUUCCGACUGUAUUAUUAAUUGUUCAACCAUUGAACUUUUUUCACUUUCCGCUUCUAAAUUUAAUCAAUAUAAAUCUCAUGAAUUUCAUUGCAUAUAACUGUAUUAGUAAAGGGGUAUAGAUCGUAAAGCCUCAUAAUUUAAUUUUCAUGUAUUUACUCAUAUAACAUUUAUUAUUCUCAAGUAUUAUAAAACAUUUAUCCGUACUUUUACGAGUACUGCUUCUUCAUAACUAACAUUUUUACUCAGGGAUAAUCCUUUAUCUUGUAACGAAAAUUGUUUAAUUUUUUUAUUUAACAGAGGCCCAGUAGACUAGAUAGAACACUUCGGAUAUACAGGACUUAGACAGAGGUGCAUUAUUAUGCACUAAUGAACAGAGAGCACUGAAGUGCUAUAUAGAGAGCACAAAUGUGCUAAUCAGAGAGCACUGAUGUGCUAAAUAUUAGAGAGCACUGGCGUGCUAGUAAUCAGAGAGCACUGGCGUGCUAAAUAUCAGAGAGCACAAAUGUGCUAAUCAGAGAGCACUGGCGUGCUAAAUAUCAGAGAGCACAAAUGUGCUAAUCAAAGAGCACUGACGUGCUAAUAUUCAGAGAGCAUGCUGAAGUCCCUUAACAUCCUAGUAGUUCUAAUCUUGUCUACUUGGGCAAAUUAUUUCAUACAUGCAUAUUAGUUUUACACCUUUCGCAUAAUAUUUUUACAUGCUUUACAAUUUAAUCCUUGUACCAAUAAUUUAUAUGCUUAUAUCUUCUGUAUCUUCAAUACAUGUAAUAUAUUUCAAAAUUCACUAUUCAUUCAUAAUUCUCUAAUAAUCCUUAUCAUGUACUUCAUAUAUCACAUUUAUAUAUUUUGUAAUUUAGUCAUCAGCACAAUAUUUCAUAUAGUAAUAUAAUUUACUUUUAAUAAUACAUAUAACAUAAUAUUCAUCAUCGACAUGUAUUAUAAAACUUUUAUUCUUGCCCCCUUUUUUUUUUAUCGAUUCAUCAUAAUCAACUUUCUACUUGUAUACUUGAGUAUCGUUUUUAGCAUUAUCAUAAUUAACUUGGUUAUAAAACAUCUCUUUCUAUAAGUAAAACAAAUUUCAUUAGAGUCGAGAGAUAUCACACUAUCACAUAUUGUAAUGACAUGUGUUUUUAGACUUCACAUAUACUACGUUUGAUCCGAGAACCGACUAAACCGUAGCUCUGAUAUCAUUAAAUGUAAUACCCCAUACAAGUACCUGAGACCGGGAUAGGAUACGAGGCAUUACCGAGAUUUUCAGAAUAAUUUCAAUUAAUUUAUAUUAUUUAGUAUUCAUUUUCAUGUUUCAUGUAACAUUCUUUUCAUAUAUUCAAAAAAAAUAUCAUAUAAAGUACGAAACAAUACUUAAAUUUUCAUAUUUACAUGCUCAUGCAGGAUAUACGAACCUACCUGACUAAAUUGCAGAAAUACCAAGAUUUAGGGGCAUAUUGGUGAUUUACCAUAUUCCCAAAUUUCACCCAAUCUUAAAUUGAUAAUUUCAUUCAAUUUAUUAAUUUAGAUAAUAAAACAAUUCAUUCCUUUCAAUUUAGUCAUUUUCGACAUUUUUACAAAAUUACCUAUAAAGUUUUACUUUUAUUCAAUUUAGUCAUUGAGCCAAAAACAUACAAAUUAGCCAUGCUAGCUGAAUAUUCAUACAUAUUUUUCCUCCUCCUCCUCUCCAUUCCACAUCCUUAGUAUAAACAACACACUUGUAGGUAACAUUAUCCAUAAUUUUCACUAUCUACUUAUGUGAAUAUUCAAGCUGUCCAUCUGUGUCAUAGUCACUAAAUUAUUUUUAUCUUGAGCUACAGAACUCCAAAUUAAGAUCCUAUAAUUUUCCAUGAAACUAGACUCAUAUACCUUCUUACCAUAAAAAUUUCAUAAUUUUUGGUUGGUCCAAUUAAUACAGUUUAUUCAUUAAAGUCUCUCCUGUUCUGCUGUCUGAUAGUUCCGACCCUUCUUCACUAAAAAUUAAUUAUCUUCUUGUACAGGAUUCGAAUGAUGUCCUCGUUUGUUUCUCUUGAAAAUAGACUUAUUUAGGAUUUUAAAAAUAUAUAUUUAAGCCCCUAAUUAAUUUUAUCCAAUUUUUUAUGAUUUUCCAAAGUCAGAACAGGGGAACUCGAAAUCAUUCUGACCUUGUCUCACAAAAGUUAUUGUAUCUCAUGAUUUAGAAUUCCAUUGCUUACAUAAUUUCUUUUAUAAGAAACUAGACUCAAUAAGCUUAAAUUUCAUAUUUUAUUCAUCCUCUAAUUUGAUUUCUAUAAUUUUUGGUGAUUUUUCAAAGUUAGACUACUGCUGCUGUCUAAAACAGUUUAAGUGCAAAAUGUUGAUUUCCAUUUUGCCCCAAAUUUCACAAUUCAUACAAUUCAGUCCUUGCUCAAUUAACCCCUCAAUUAAGAUAAUUUUCUCAAUUAAUACUUUUUCUACAUAUUAUAAGUUAUUUCAUAACUAUUGAAAUUCAGAAUUUCCAUAUGAAACUCUAACUUCAAACUCUUUUACAAUUAGGUCCCAAACAUUCACUUUCUAUUCAAUUAUUUCAAUAAAAUCAGCAUAUAAAUAAUUUAAAGCUCUAAUUCCAUGCCAAAUCAUCAUAUACUUCCAGCACAUAUUCAUAGCAACUUUCAAUUUCUUUCAUAGAAUCAAAAACUAAUGAAUUCAACAAGUGGACCUAGUUGUAAAAGUCACAAAAACAUAAAAAUUUCAAGGAGAAAGCAAGAAUUAAACUUACAUGAAGCUAGAGUAUGAAAAUCAGCUUGAACCCUCCUCCAUGGCUGUUUUUCAGCUGAUAAAUAUGAAGAGAAAUGAAGAGAAUUCUAGAUAUUCCAAUUUAGUCCCAUUUUUAUUUAGCUAAAUUUGGCAAUUUUCCAAUUUUGCCAUUAUUUCAUCCAUUUCCUGAUUUUUCUCAGCUAUCGCCGCCCAAAAUAUCUCCUUUAGGACUAUUUUCACUUUAGGUCCUUCCUCAUUUGACAAUUGAGCUAUUUAAUCCUUCUAGCAACUUUUACACCCUUUUCAAUUUAGUCCUUUUUAUUUAAUUAACCACCAAAACGUCAAAAUUUUCUGACUAAAUUUUAAUACUACCUCACCAGCACUCCAUAAAUAUUUCUAAAAAUAUUUAUGGCUCGAUUUAUGAAGUCGAGGUCUCGAUACCUCAUUCUCGACCCAAUUUACCUAAUUAAUUCUUUUAAAUCACCAAAUUCACUAAUUCAAAAAUGAUUUUAUAUUCGCAUUUGACUCAUAGGUAUUAAUUUAUUAAAUUUUUAACUCACCCGUCGGAUUUGGUGAUCUCAAAUCUCUAUUCCCGAUACCACUGAAAAUUACCAAUUUUCCAAUUUUGCCCUUAUUUCAUCCAUUUCCUGAUUUUUCUCAGCUAUUGUCGCUCAAAAUAUCUCCUUUAGGACUAUUUUCACUUUAGUUCCUUCCUCAUUUGACAAUUGAGCUAUUUAAUCCUUCUAGCAACUUUUACACCCUUUUCAAUUUAGUCCUUUUUAUUUAAUUAACCACCCAAACGUCAAAAUUUUCUGACUAAAUUUUAAUACUACCUCACCAACACUCCAUAAAUAUUUCUAAAAAUAUUUAUGGCUCGAUUUAUGAAGUCGAGGUCUCGAUACCUCAUUCUCGACCCAAUUUACCUAAUUAAUUCUUUUAAAUCACCAAAUUCACUAAUUCAAAAAUGCUUUUAUAUUCGCAUUUGACUCAUAGGUAUUAAUUUAUUAAAUUUUUAACUCACCCGUCGGAUUUGGUGAUCUCAAAUCUCUAUUCCCGAUACCACUGAAAAUUAGGCUGUUAUAGAAAUAUAUGUGCAUGGCAAGUGAAUUCCAAUAACAAUCUAUGUUAAAACGUGAAGUGAUAAUAUAGUAAAUUAAAGUGUUAGUAAGUUUGUUACAUAAAUAUAUUGAAUAAUCUCUUGAUAUAAAUGAUAUGUUGAUGAAAUUAUAUUAGUAAUAUUGUUACUAUUUUUAAAUUAAAGAAAUGAUAAGAUUUAAAUUCAUGGGUACUUACAAAGCUUUCACAAACUUAACACAUUAUUUUCAUCGCGUAGGUGAAAGAUCAAAUUGAAGUUUUUAUACGAAGUGGUGACCUUGACACAUCUCACCACAUCAUCAUCAAAUUUUCGGAGAAAAGGGGUAUGAAAUAAACUUUACUGUAUAAAGUAUGACAUAUACAUAGGUGAAUUAAUGAAGUAAUAAAGAAAGUGUCUAGUUGUUUAAUAUUUGAGUACUUUAAGGUAUUUGAAAACAUAAUUCACGUUUGAUGAGAAUCAAACAGUCAGUGACGUUGCGACUUAGAAUCCCCAAAGUCGUGGCAUCAACCCGAAAGUUUUAAAACUUUAUAAUUUAAUAUUUAUUCGACUUUAGGUUAGUAAAAAUCUUUCAUAAGCUCAUAUAAUACUCGGAUAAGAUUGUGAAUCAUGUUAUGAGGGUGUAAUAAUCUUAACAGCGUGAACAAAAGGUUAAAUGGAAUGGUAAUUAUUUGUAAGUGCUCCGACAACGAAUGUGACAUCCCAAAACUUGGACCCAACGAUCGGGUCAAGUAUGGGGUGUUGCACACCAACCCAGUCAAACUUUUAAUAAUAAUACUAAGAUUUUUCUCACACGACUAUGUUUGUGGAAACCACAUAUAUAGAAUAUAAAUGUGUAUUUAAAAAUAACAUAUAAUAAAUAAUAAAACAUAUUAUUUGAAACUAAUUAAUAAUAUAUAAAAUAUGUACAAUAUUAAAAUGAAUAAAAUAGAUUAAAUUAUGAGUGUAAUCAAAUUUAAACACAUAAAUACACCAAAUUAAGAAUAUUAAAUGAACACAAUUGUUUAUCACCGUAUUGUCAUCAAUCCUGAGUUAGUGUCGAGUUAAUUUGCGACACUAAUUUAAUCAAAAAAAUUAUUAAUAUAUAUUAGAAAUUCUAUCACACACAUAUUCGUGCAAAAAUCACAAAUUUAGAACUCAAAUGUGUGUUUAAAAAUAACAUAUAAUAAAUAAUGAAAUGUGUGGUUUGAAACUGAUUAAUAAUAAUGCCACAUGAAAUAUGUAUGAUGUUAAAGUUAAAAUAUAUAUAUUGAAUUUAUUUAUCAUGAUGUUGUCAUUAAUCUUGAGUCAUUGUCAAGUUAACUUAUGAUACCAACUCAAUCAAAUACAUUAAUAUAUACACAAUUGAUUGAGGUAAUAAAGUGCACAAAAUAAAAAUUGAAAUAUAUAAAAACAUAAAAUAAAGAUUUAGUUGAGUGGUAAAUUAAAGGUUUUAUUAAUUUAAUUAGUUUGGGUUCAAAUUUUACUAUAUGUAUUUUUAUUGGUUUUUAAAAAAAAUAAAAAUAAUAAAUUACCCUCGAAUAAUAUAAUUUAUUUUAAUUACGAAAAGAUAUUUCUAUAAUUUUGCUAACUAAGUUGGUGACCUAAUUAAGGGUAACACAAACUCAGUAAAAUACUUAAUCAAUAGUAUAUAGAAGUAUAGAUAUAUAACAGAUGAAGGUAAUAAAAUAUGUAUAAUAAAAUUAAAAUGUAUAAAAAUAUUAAAAUAAAAUUUUAAUUGAAUAGCAAAUUAAAAAUUUUACUAACCCAAUUAGCAUGGAUUCAAAUCUUACCAUAUCCAUAUAUUUUUAUUAUUUUUUUUUAAAAUGAAAAGAUUAAAAUAUCAUCUAAUAAUUUUACUUAUUUUAAUUAGUUCCUAAUCGAGUUGGUGAUCUGGUUCUGACUCGAUUAAAAACUUAAAUAAUAAUAUAAAUACAACUUAUGAGGAUAACAAAGUGUGUAUAAUAAAAUUAAAGAUGAGUGGAAACAACUGAUAAUGCCUGGGAGCAGAGCAAAAGCAACAUGAUAGACCAAGAAGGAAGGAAGGUUAAGUUAAUACCAAAGAUCCAAAUGAAGGUGAAGCAGCAAACAAAAAUUUGGGUAUGGAUGAGUGGUGCGAUUAGUUGUGGUUAGAGUAAAAAUAGCGGUGGUGAUGAAAUUAGAUACUAUAUAGCGUAUAUAGCGUACUGAAUUACACAACACCGGUCAUCCAAACUCACUUGAAAUAAAUGAUAAUUUGGGAUAUACAUAUAUGCAUUAUCUGCCAAACUUGGGAUUCAACUCAGCAAACCCGAACUAAAGAAAUAACCAGGUACUUGUUCUUCUUCUUUGUUUUCUUUCACCAACUGCAAUAUAAUAGUAAAAAGAUACGUGCACUCUUAUGAUAACACGUUCACUUUGGUAAUAAAAGAGGAAAUGUGAGCUAUUCUUUUUUUGUUUUAGACAGAAAAGGAUUCAACCACCACCUGUGUUUCCUCUAUAAUACUACAUCAUCAAACAGUGUAUAUAUUACAAAUAUUCUGGAAUUAUUAAAUAAAACUACCUUAUCUACUUAUUAUAACAUUCUCCAUAUCCAAUUCAUCUAACUCAGUCAUGGCUGCAGGAUGGAAUCAAGCAACCUAAUCUAUUCUUUCAAUACCAUAUGUUAUAUAUCUACAGAAUUAACCAAGUCUCUCAUACUCCAUAUUUUUGUAUCCCCACAUAUAUAUACAUAUAUACAGACACGGGGGGCUGUGGGAUGCUACCUAUUCUAUAUACAUAGGUUUUGCUGCAGAUAUAGCAGUGAGAGUGGAGUUGAGAGUAAUUAAGUUGGUGCCAUGCAAAAAAGCCUCUCCGUAAGCAAUUCCUCUCUCCAUUUUCGUGUGACUUUGGCUAUGAAUUCCUCUACUCUCGUUUCCAAAUCAUUAUCUUCCUCAUCUUCUUCACUAUCCUGACCAUCUUCUGUGCCAAGAGUAUCAUCGUUUUCUUCAUCGUAACCAUGAUAAAGUUGUACAUCCUCAACGUCACUGCCCUCAUAAUAAAUUUUUUCUUCUUUUGCGCCUAUGUUGACAAACCCUAAAUCCAGGACAGGAUGGUUGAACUCAUGACCAGCUGCAUCUUGAUGAUCAGGGCUUCCAAUAAUAAUGUUAAUAAUGCCAAGGAUAGCGUAGAACACGGUAAACCGAGCUAAGGGACAAGACUUUGCCACCACGAUGAAGUCAUAGGUGGAGAAAACAAGUUCAUGAUGCAUAGGAGCUGAUAGUAACAAAGCCAAUAAUAUGACCAAAGGAAUACUUGAUAAAAACCAUAAGGCAGGGAACCCACCACCUCCCUCCAUUUUGCUAGUUUUAGCCAUUAAUAAGAGGUUUUUUGUCACUAAAUUAACAACGGCAAGAUUUACUAGCUAUAUAAAGUUAAUCAGAAAAAAAGCUACUCAUCUAUUUCCUGGAAGCAAAGAGGACUGGUUGAUUGCAAUAUUAAAACCAUGGGAAGAAGUUAAUUAUGAAGGUGCAGGAGGAAAUUUCUGAGCAUUUUAGGAACAUUUAUUUAAACCAAAAGAGAAAAUGAAAUAGGUUGGAUGUUGGAAGUAUUUGUGGAAAACCAAUAUAGUGACGAAACAAGAGUGUGCGAAAGAAAAGAAGAAUUUGGUGACUUGAGAAUUAUAAUAACAUUCCAUCUCCAUGUCAACAAUUUUUGCAACAUAUAGUAAAUUGGGUCAUUGUUUAUUAUUUCACUUGAUAUUUAUUUAGCCUAAAACCAGGGUGGUUUGGUCCAUGUCCUUUUCAAUGGGAAACUUCCAAGCAUAUGUCUCCACAUUUAUAAAUCCUAACAACAAACUAUUAGUUUCUCAUAAUUCGCACGCAAUUUUCUUCUUUUUACAUUGCUCGUCUACUCACUACAUUGGCGCCAUGGCGGGGAAAGUAAAACCACAACAAACUUUCAGAGUUGUUUAUGAGUUGGGUAAGUAAAAAAAUUAGGUAUGUUUUUUAGGUUCGGAUUUGGCCCGACCUAAAAAAUAGGCUUAAAAUUUAUCUAAGUCCAACUUAAAUAAAAAUGUUAGAAUUCGAGUCCGGCACAACCCACAUUAAAAUUUUUUAUAUAAAAAAUAAAUUUAAAAAAUAUAACACAUCAAAUACACUAAAAAAUUAAAAUAAAUAUUUCCUAACAAAUGGAAAAGUUUAAAAAAAAAAAUUUAAAUAACAUUAAGAUAGGUACAACUUAGUAGGCAAAUACAUAUAAAAUAGUAGCUAAAUUAAUAAUAAAACAAGAAUGAUACAAUAUCAAAAUAAUAACAAUAAAAUAGUAGCAAUAUAAUAACGAAAUGAUAGCAAAACAAUGAAAAACAGGUAAAAAAUAAAAAAAAUAGCAACAAUAUUUUUUUUAUGAAAAUUUGGGCUGGGCCAAGCAAAAAAGUUUACCUGAGGCUUCACCCGUUUAGAAAAUAAACUCUUUUUUUUUUGUUUAAGCCUGUUUUUAGGACCUUUGUUUUUGUCCAAACUCUCCUACUUUUCGAGCAAGUAUUUAGCUCGGUUUAUAGACAAGUCUAAGUUAAAUGUCUCAUUUAUUUGAUGUAGCAAUUUACUUAAUGAGUUGAAAGUAAUAAAUGUUGUUUUAAGUGAAAAAGUCAUAAAAAAUUUAAAGAGAAAAGAGAGUAAUGACUAUUGCGUGAGACAUUCAUAGGUUAUGCGUCUUAUAAUGAGAUUUUAAAAAAAAUUUAAGGGAGAUACUCAUAAAUUACGUGUCGCCUCUUAAUUGGUAAAUUAUUAUUAAAUCUUUUGUUAGAUCGAUUAUAUGACUUGAUGUGAUGAAAUUACAUGAUAUAUUAAUUACUAGUAACAAUAAUUUUAUUAAAAUGGUUAAAUUUAGUGUCAUUUUGGUAAAAAAAAAAAAGAAGAAGUGUUGGGCGAAGUAAUCGAUUAAUGAGUCGGGCAAGAUAACUAGUAGAGUAGAGGAUGUAUAACAUAAUUAUAAACUGGUACACAGACAUAUUGACGUUUCAUGUUUUUCCGACAGCAAAAGACACAGAUUGAGAAGCAUGUGUUGUUGAACGAGAAUACAUAAGCUCCUUAUUUGUUUUGUUUGCAAUGUCAAACUCCCUACAUCCUAUUCUAUUAUUUUAUUUAUUUAUACACACAGUCAUCCUCUUUACUUUAGUUUUGGAAAUUAAUCAUUUUAAAUAUUUAAAAAACAUAUUUUAAAGGACGCUUUUUUGGUACAAACUGAGUGAGAGGAAAUUAUAUGAAUCUUGAUAAGUUGUCAAUAAAGAGUUUUAAUCAGUGCUCCUUUCAUUUUAAACUAUGAUUAAAAUGAAAAAAUAUAUUGUCAUAUUCAAAAUGGAUCAAGUUGGGUCAAAUUCGGGUCAUGAAUUAUGAAAUCCAAACCAAGCUCAUAAUUCAAUUAAGUUCUUUUUUUUGCACACCCAUUUUAAGAGCUAACCUUAUCUAAACCCUCCCAAAUUCCACGUGAGACUUUGGGCUUUAGUAGAUAGUCUAACAUUUGAAAAAGUCUAAUUUAAAAUGAUUCAUAUUAUUUUCUCAAUUCAUGAAAAUUAUAUUGUAUAUAUUAUAGUUGUUCAAGCAGAAGAAACGUAUAAGUAGAAAAUGGAGGGUCAAGGUUUACAUAUUAUAGUUUAGGGUGUAAUUUGGCAUACUGGAAGAAGCAGGUUAAUAAUGGUAUGAUAAAAGUCAUUGUAGUUGAAUGAAAAAUGAAACCAUAUGAAUAGAAAUGAUAAAAAUGUCACUACUACAUAAUUGGGAGAUCUUUUAAAAUCUAGGGCAACUCUCAUCAAUCAGGCUAAAAAAAGAAGAAAAGAUUGUCUUUGCCUGAGACAUUAAAACCUAGCUGGAUAUUAAUCCUACCUCAUCAUCCUACAUUAAUAUUCAACAACACAUAACACUCCGUACUCUUUGAUGAACGAAAAACAUCAGGGAUUUUAGUCUAGUCAGCCUCCGAGUCUGAUUUUAUAAGAUUAACCUGCUGGCAACGAAAUGUUGAUAUCCGUUGCUGAAUUCCUUGGCUCCUGCAUGGUGGCCGCCCAAUUUUCUCUCCGAAAGGUAGCACCGGUGAGGCUUGGUUUCAGGGCAUUCGAAUUUUGUUGUGGCGAAACAACAUCUAUGCCAUCCUCUUUCUCAGCAUUUGAAGCUGGUGCAGCGACCAUACUCGGGUUUGGUGCAACAGUAGCUGGUAUGGACUCGAUCUUCUGCUUUUUGGGUUUUUGAUCAUGCUGGUUGCCAGGUAAAAAGCUGCCGACAACAACCUGAUAAUUCAACAAAAGAUUAAUCAUCAAUGUGUUUGAGACCAAGAUUUGUCUAGACUCUUAAAUCUUUUCGAAUUGUGAAAGGCAAAGUAUGAAUCAAUUCCAUUCCAGCUCUCUACAAUAUUUUGAAAGAUGUCUCAUGCACUUCUCUCAGGUGUUCAUACAACUCAGACUACGAGCUUGAGAGCCGAUAGACGAGUACUUAGCCAUCACUUGAAGCCCCUCAAAUUAAACAUAUUAUUAAUUCUAAAAGGGGACCGGAAAUUUAGCACUAAGAGGCUUACUUGUACAGGGCUGGCAGCUAUAAGAAGCCCAGCAACUCCUCCUCCUACAACACGGCCAUCAGCACUUGCCAAAGAUACACUCAUUCCACCAGAUCGACUUCUCGUUCCUUGAGUUUCUGUAGGCAUGAAGGAUCCAGACAAGGAAAGUAUCUCAAAGCGACCCUACAAGAAAAUAGGACAGACAAAGUUUUCUAUUAACGAUUAGAAAAUCAAAACAGAGUAAGAAGUUCAUGUUGGCCUUGUUCAGCAUCAUAGUUGGCACAACUUUUGAGGUCAAAAUGGAAAAAAGUUCCAGCUUUUUGAGGUUAAAAUUUUGCUUUGACAACCACCUCCUCUCCCUUCAAACGAUAUGCACUAUCUACUUGGUUUCACGAGUAUUUAUCUUACCUGACAUUUGUAUCUUUAUAAUCAGUGGUUUUCACACACCUAAUAGCAUUAUCCUUCGGAGAAUAAUGCGAACCAUCUUAUAAUCAAUUCCUCCCAAAGCAUUCCAAGUUUUAUGCACUGAUAAUUUCAAAUUAGACCUGAAAAUGUUUUUCCAGGAGGAACUUCAACUUACUCGGCUGCAUUAUAAAGUACAUUCUCAGCAGCAAACGUCUUCCUUAGCGUACGAACAUUUAUAGGCAUAACAUCCUUUAAAAUUAAUGAGUAUAUUUUAAAGAAUGUCUUGUAUCUUAUGAAAUCCUUUGACAAACUUAUAUUAAACAGUACUGCAAACAUUAGAAUCAUGCAACAAAACAUUGAUUCAAUUUCCAUAAUCAAACACAUUACAGAUUAGACUACCCUUUUUGCAUAUAAAUUAGACUAUAUGUUAUUGGAAACUCCUCAUAUUUCAGAAUGUGAUAGUAAUUUCAAAAUUGCCUAACCUCGUACGUAAGAGUGCCCCCAGAAGAAUCGGGUUGACGAAGUGUAACAUUUGAAAUUACUCCAUUGGCAGAUAGGAUGCAAAUAGCUCUCGGUCCUUGUUGAGAAAAUGAUAUCACCUUCAUUGUCACAUCCUUAAACACCACAAAAUCAAAUAUAAGGAAAGAAGUAGAUAAUGAUCACCUUAGAGACCACGAAUAUAGCCUAUCGAAGGUCUAAAGUCUAGAAAAAAAGUUAUGAACAAGGAAAAGAACACUAGCGACCACGAAAAGGAUGGACCCAGAAAGCCUACACAAGUCUUUGGCAAUGAUAGAAAUGAAGCAUAAGAAUGUUCCCCGAUAAAAUGAAUAAACUCCUCUCUGUUUCCUAUAUCAAAACUUACCUCGCCAGCAUUGACUGUGAUAACAUGAGGAGUAAAACUUGACCUGACAGAAGUAGCAGCCCAUUCACCUAUAAAUCAUUUAAGCAACAUCUAUAAGUACAGAAUUUCACUGUUAAACUAAACAAAUAAACAAAUCAUGUGCUGAUAUACCUUUAGCCUGUUUGUCAAACAAACAUAGAUCUACUACAUAUUUUUGCAAAGAAGCCCUUUAAACCAGAUUCCAGAUGGUCAGAGAAAGAAACAUACUUUCAGACCAAACGAUAUUACUAAUCAACCGAUCUUGCUGCUUUAACCAGUUUCAUUUUGUUUAUAUCAGUGGGAGCAUCUUGAAAAAUCCUUCUUGAAAAAUAAAAUCAAAGACAGAAUAUUCCUAGACCUUCUACAGUCACAAAAAAAGGCCACUCAUUCACAGAAACCAGUAACAUCCUCCCAAAUCUGAACAACGGCAUCUCAGAUUAGGUCCCACAAAAAGGUCAACAAGUAUUAUCAACUUCACAUAUAGAAUCUUUCAAAGUGGCAUUCAGAAAAUUCCAAACCAAUCAGGUGUUUUGAAGAAUCUAUAACAUGAUUGAACUCAAACUAAAACAAAACAACAGUAUGCUAAAAUUUGAAUCAAAAGCAAAAACUUUCCACAGAAAAGCUUGGUACCUAAAUUCUCCAAGUCCAUUCCCUUCUGAUGUUUAAUCUGGUACCCGCUACCUCGUCCUCUCCCACGCUUUCCGCCACCACUUGAGAACUCACCUCCGCUGGUCGGGACAGAUGAGGAAAUAGGCAUUGGUGACAAUGCCCUCGCCAUUGUCCCAUCUGGCCCAUAUUUCCUAGGCCUACCUCUCUUUUUCUUUUCUAUACUACCAGUUAACCCUACACUAACUGGUGAAACAUCCUCUGUUGUUGAGCCGACACCAAUCUGGCUAACAUUUUCGGUCCUAGGUGCCAUUUGAUAAGCUGAUGGAGCUUCUGCUCCUAUCACUGUAACACCUGAAUUUGUCUCCAUGCAAAUAUUAAAUUAUACUUAACAGACUCCAAGCCGGUCACCUAUAAAACAGAAAUCUUCAACAAAAAAUCAGAAAGGUAACUAUACGAUACACACAUCCUCCUCCUAUAUUUUGCUCCAUCAUCACUUAUUUCACUUAGAACGGAAGUUGUAAAUUAAUAUUAAAAAAAAAAGAUAUCAAAAUACACCCAAAAAAAUCGGAAAAAAAAAGUACAUUAAAAAAAAAACUCAACUUUCAGUUUAGUUGUGAUGAUCACAAUUUCUUAACACAAACUAAUACUCAACAAAAACCUUACUGUGACAGUAAUAAUUACGUAAUCAACCUAGAGAAUUGCUGAUAGUUGAGCAUAAAAACACUCAUACCUGCAAAGCUUAGCAUUUAAAAAAAACAGAAGAAGAUAAUUUGUAACUCACCAAAUCUUUAAAAAAAAAUUAUUUUCAUCUCAAUCAAAGAAAAAGAAGAAAAAAUCAAAAUCAAAAGAAAGUAUUAUAAAUAAACUUAGAAAUUAAACGAUGUUAAAUGUAGAGAUCAUGACCUGUAACUUCUAAGCACCACACCAGAACAAACUCUUCACUGACACUAUUCUUCUCAGACCUGUUCACAUUUCCCUGUAGCAAAGUACUUCGAAACUUUUUUUUUCUGUCCAACCAACAUAAUUUUCUUUUCCAAAAAAAAUCUAAAAUAUUUAUGUAAAAAAAAACUGUUACUCAAGAUAAAAAAAAAAAGUUCAGAAAACCGCUGCCGGUUCUUUUAUUUUAUUGUCUGAACAGAGACUUUUACUCCGAGAGAACACACAAAACAAAAUGAAAAUACAAAAUAUGAAAAAUAAAAUAUUUUAAUAAAAGUUAAAAUAAGUAUUAAUUAGUAGGUAAAUUGAUAACCCCGAUAUAUAAAAUUUGGUUAAGAAGAAUUUCACGUCCGGUAAUCGAAAAUUGAAUUUGAAACUUGAAUUAAAAUGGGGUAAAAUAGUAAUUUGGUGAAAAAGAUAUGGGAAAUAAAAUAAGGGAGAAAAAGUAAAGUUAAUAGCUUUCCUAAAAUAUUUAUUUGUGUCUUCCAUUUCAAGCUGGAAAGUUGGCGUUGGAGGGCCCACCUUUUUCAAAGUUAUGCUAUUUUUUAUUAAAUAAAUCCGUACUAAUUCUUUUAAAGCAAAUAUUUUAAUUUUAAUUAUAAAUAGCUUUUUUUUUAUUUUUUAUAUAAUAUUAAAGUAAUGAUGGGGUUACACUAUAUAAAUUUAUAUCAAAAUUUUAUUUAACAAACAUUUUAACCAUCAUUUUUUAAAUCUAUAUAAUUAUUUUAUAAUUUUAAAAUAUAAAUUAAUUUUGAAACAUAGAUAUUAUUAAAUACAAAAAUAUUUUAAUUAUGUUGAUAGUUAUACUUGAAUUCUAAAAAAAUAAAAAUAAAAAAAAAUUAUAUUUUAAAUUUACCAAAAGUGUAUAGAGUUACCACAUAUUUUAAUCUAACUAUAAAUGUUGUAUUUCUAAAUUUUUGAAAGUUGAUCCUGUAACAUAUCCGAAAUACUAUUAUACUUGGCUGAUAAAUACUACGGGUAUUUUUUCGACAUUAUAUCGCUGCUAGUCUGCUUUUUGUCUUUUGCAGCAAAUAAAGAACGAACAUCUUAGAUUUUGCCCUUGAGUUGUUGUCUUAAUCACGGUUGUGCCACCGUAGACGUAGAGUGUGGACUUUCUUUUUGUUUUUUUGCUCGUUCUUGUUCUUGUUCUUCUGCUUCUUCCUUUUUUUCUAUAUUUCUUUAUUAUAAGCGUUUCUGAUUUUUCCUGAUGAUAAUAAUGAGGCGUUUGGGAGUGAUGAUCGCGUCACCUGUGGGUGAAAGUCAUAUUGUCUCAUGGUCGGAUAUGAUUGGAUAAUCUCUGGCACACCUCUUCCAUACGUCAUGUAAGAUUUUAUGGCCUAUGUCCAAAAAAAAAAACUGUUUUAAUGGUACAAAGCAAGUCAUAUUUAAAGGGCGAAAUCAGAAAAAAAAAGAACUAAUUGAAAUCAAAAUUAAAUUGCAAGUUUUUUAAAAAUAUAUAAAUUUAUUGUAUUAAUUAAUCUUUUUUUUUUAAUUUUACUGAGAUUAAACUUGUAGUGUUUUUUUAAUCUCAAUGCAGAGUGCUGUGAGGGUGGCUGAGUUACAGUCAUAUUGUUGAGAGGUAUAGUUGUGUGAGAGAGAGGCAUGUUGUUAAUGUAAGUUCACAUGGCUGUCAAGUGUGAAGACAAGGGCCCUACUCUUUGAAUCUUUUUCAAAGAUUAUUUAAGAUAAGCUGUCCCCAACUUACCCUGACCGCUAUUUCCUAAUUUUGGAUUUGGUCUUCCUUCCUCCCCACUGCUCAAAUAUUUUAUUAUGUAGGUUGAAAAUGGCUUUUCUUUUUAAGAAAAAAAAUUAUUUGUUUCUUUUUUUUUUCAACUCAAAAAGGGGAAAAAGAUAUGGUUAGGAAGGAAGAAGGUUGACUAUGAGUUGAUUCAGACUUAUUGAAGAGGGGAAAAAAACCCCAGCUUGUUGAAGGUGUUAUCGCCGUAAGGCCAUAAGCAAAGGAGGUGAAGGAAAACUUGUCGGCAUUGGAUUUGGGUGGCAUCGAUAACUAGAGGACUCUUUAGUUUGGACACUUGAUUGUUAAAACUAAAAUUCUUUAUGCUAUCAGUGUGUUUGGUGUUUAAGCAUGUGUUAAGAUCGGACAAUCAAUUCGCACGACAUUUAGCUAGCUCUGCUACAUUAGGGGUGAUAGUGUUUUUAUUGGUGGCAUCAACCACUGAACUAUAUUUGCUUUUGGAUUUGUAUAGAUAAAUGAUAUUAUUAAUGAAUACAAGUGAAGUCCCUUUUUUUUUCUCAUUCUUCAUUUAAAAGAACGGUUUUCCAUCGGAAAAUAAUUAAAGGAAAAAAAGGCAAGUAUCUCUCUCCACCGAGGGAGAGAGUUUCCUAUUACCGGCAGCGGCUAACGAAGGUCUAAAAGGCCUUCUUUCGGUUUCAGCUUAAGAAUGGGCUUGGUCUUGACCCACAAACCUCUUCCUCCUUUACCAGGAAUGUUUAAACAAUCGAAUUCGAUUAAUAUUUAAAUCAAAUUAUUAUUAAUUGAAUUAUUUAAAAUAUAAAAAUAAUUAAUUGUUAAUUGAAUUGAAAUAUUUCAAUUAAUUUAAUCGAUUAACCGAAAUCUAUAUAUUUUUGUCUUUAGAAACACGUCAUAAAUCUUGAAAUUCAAUUAAUUACCCAGUGAAAAUGACAAAUAAGACAUUAGAAACAACUUUAAAUAAUAUAUAUUAUUUAUUUCGAUUAAUUAUUUAAUUUCGUAUUGAAUUAACCGAUAACUAAAAUUUCAAAAAUUAUUAAUUGAUUUUCGACCAAACUAAAUUGAUUAGAUCAAUUAAUUCAAUUUUAACCGAACUGUGUACACUCCUAAUUAUUAUGUUUCCCUAAACUAUCAUUUGGUCAUUGAACGUAAAAAUUCCACAUAAACUCCAUUUUAUUAUAUAUUUUCGGUAAAUUUAAUUUCUUUUACUCUAAUUUAUUUAUUUAUAAUCUUUCUACUUUUUGAAAUAUAUAUUUUUAGUCCUGAUUUCAACUUAAUUUUUCCAUUAAUUGUGAAUAUCAUUUGGUAUGACUAAUGUUUUUACACUACACAAUGAUGAUGUGACGUAUAAAUGUUGAUGGUUUUUUUAAUUAGAUAAAUAUUAUUUUUAUUUUUAUUUAUUAAAUAUGCAAAAAGUUAUCCAAUUGUAAAAAAAAAUUAAAUUGUAUGUAUCACAUCAUCACAUGUUUACGUUAGAUUAUUUGAUAUAAUCAAAAAAAAAGUUAUAGAAAUGAAAAUAUACAAUCUGAAAAAGUAAAGGAACUUAAAAUUAUCAGUUAAUGAUAGAGAAAUUAAAUCCAUAAAAAUGUAUAAUAUGAAUACCUUAUAUAGAAUUUGACCAUACAAAUAAUACAUAAAACUUGUUAUCAUCGAACAAAGAUUGAAGGAAAAAAUAUUUCAACCACAAAGGGUAAUGUUAGGAGAUGAAUACGGGCGUCGUCAAGGAGGGCUAGCAGGGGCUGGCCUCCUCAAUCUUUCAAGACUUUGUAUAAUUUUAUUGACAAUGGUAAAAUUAUAUUUCACUCUUAAAAAUAUUAUCGCAUUGAUAAAAAGAAAUAUGUAGAAUUGUAUUUGGCCUCUCAAAAAACAGUUUUAAUUUAGUAUUACUUUAAAUUAUACAUUAUUUAUUAGUUAUCUCUAAAUUUUUAAUUAGUCAGAUUUAUAUAUAUUGUAUUUUUGUAGAGGCUGCUAAAAGAGCAAAAAGCAUAUGAUGGCAAGGUCCUUGGACUCUGGUGCAACCAGGAAUCUUCUUAAUUUAGAGAGGGACCUUAAAGUGGUGUGGUCCGGGACAAGAAUAUUGGUGAGUGGAUUACUGGGUUUGCAAGGAGUGUGGGCUCUUGUUUUAUCCUGCAGGCGGAGCUUUGAGAUUUGUUUGAUGGUUUUACAUUAGUAUGGGCUAUGGGAUUUAGACAAGUGUCCUUUCCGUAACUUUUAAUUUUUUAUUUUAGUAAAAUAAUAUAUUAAAUAUCAACUAAUUAGGGGAUAGAAGCGAAUGUGAUUGAUGUUGUGUACGAAUGGCAGCAGAGUAAGGCGAAUGUUAUUAUGUUUUAUAAUUGUUUUAUUAUGAUUGUAUAAUUUUAAAAGUAUUUUCAUUGGAUUCGUUUCCCUUUAAUUUAAUUUUUAUUAUCUAUUUUUAAUAUAUUUAAUUUUUUUAAAUUAAAUAAAUAUCCUUCAAAAACAUAAAAUAUAAACUUUUUUAUGAUAUAUGAUUACAUUUUCACGAUUUUGAUCGUGGUAUAUAUAUAACACAAAUAAAUAUAAAAUGGUAAUUUUUUUUAGAAUGAAGCGGGAGAGAAUAAUUAAGUAAUUACCAUAAUUACUUCAUUCGAAAAGAUUCACCUACCUCAUCUCCCAUCCCCACCUCUAUAUCCACUUUUAAAAAGAAAAUUCUACUAAAUUUGAAGCAGUUUGAAAUCUUUUGAACAAUUUGAGUGUCAAGUUUAAUUUAAAAAAAUCGAAUUUGAUUUAAUAUUAUCUAUUGGACAGUUAAAUCCUAGUUUAUUUGGUAUUAAUAUUAUUAUUAAUGUAAGAAAAAAAUUAUUUAAUUUGAAGUCGGGUGGUUUGAAAUCCAUUGAACAGUUUUAGUUUUCUCAUCCCUAUUCAAGUUUAAGUUAAGAAAUUUGAAUUUGAUUUAAUAUUAUCGUUUGAGUUUUAUCUUUAUUAACAUUAACAUUGUUAUCAGUAUAAGAAAAUAAAUAAUUUUAAGUUAAUAUAUUAAAAAGAAAAAAAAUAAUUUGGAUAAGUGCCAAUCUAAUUCAUUUUGCUUAAAUUUAUAAUACAUUUUUGGAUAUAGUUUUAUUUUACUCAUAAAAACAUAAAUAUAUAGAUCUAGCUGCAGCCUAAAAACUUUUCUUUCCAUCUCAACCAUGUUUUGUUUCCCUCCUUCAGUUGAGGCUCAGCCGCGGUUUUCCUUUUUUUCUCCCACCCCUCUGAUCUCUCAGCCGUUGCUUUUUUUCACUCAUUCCUUCUCACAAACUCUGCGCCUCUCCACUACCCACUUCUAUUUUACGGCUCUCUCUCUCUCUCUCUUUAUUUGUUCCUAGUAAUUGGAUUUUGCCUAGUUAUUAGAUUUCUAUCUGUACCCUAGUAAUAAAAAUUUUGCCAUCUUUUUUUUUCUUUUAUAUAGAAGCAUGUUGGUUUGUGAAUAAAGCUUUCCCAGCUUCAGAGUUUCCCAUGUCGAUUUAUUUGUCAUUAACAUAUUUUUAAAAUUUAUUAUUUCAACAGAAAAAACUUAAAAUGAAGGAGUUGAAUUUUAAUUUGAAUCAGAUGUGAAUAUUUGAGUAAGCUGAAAUUGAAUUUCCAAUAGUGUAAUUGGGGUUUUUACAUUAAUAAUACAAAAAAAAUUACAAAAUAAGGUGGAAAGUAAAUUAUUUACAAAAAUAGAUAGUUUUGAACAGAAAAAACAACAACACUACCUAUAAAAAUAAUAUUUUAAUAAAAUAAAAAAUAUUUUCCAAAGAAGGAGGCGACACCCUUUUUUCUCAUGUCAUUUUACUUUUUUAUAUUUUAUAUUUUUUUAGUGUUAUGUUUAUAUUUUAAUUUUAUUAAUAAAAGAUGCUAAAUUACUUUAUUUUAUAAUUAUAAAUUUUUAAUAUUUAAAAUAAUAAUUAAAAUGAUAAAAUUUUGAUAAAUUUGACAUAAAAACAUUAUUGUAAACUUCCUAAAUAAACAUUUUUAGUGAGUUUUUAUUUUGGUCAUCAUUUUUUUUUAAAUUUCAUUACUUUAAGUCAUUUCACCGUUAAAAUGUAUUUGGUUACCAACCAUAAUUUCAAUAUGUCAUUUUUUUAUUGGUAAAAUAAUAAAUUUAACUGCUAAUAUUUUACAUAUUAAAAUGUAUUUGAUCACUAAAUAAAAUGCCAAUGUGGCCUUCUUUUUAUGGGUUUAAUAACAAAUUUAGCCUCUAAUAUUUCACACAUCCUAUCAAAUUAAUUCUAUUUUUAGAAAAUUCAAUACAUUUCACUCUCAAUGUUUACACGUUAUCAACUCAGUUAUUAUUCUAAAUAUUAAAAAAAUUAUAAUUAUAAAAUAUUAAAAAUAUAAAAUAAAAUGAUUCAACCAUUUUUAUAAAUGUUAAAAAUUUCUAUCACCAAAUAAGAACUCAUUAAAAAUCUUGAGUGAUUGUUUAGGUAGUUUAUCUAGUAGCGGAGUUAAGGGGCUGACAGGGUCUGAUCCUUAAAAUAGAAAAUUUUUCAUUUAGGCUAUUUUAUAAUUUAUAAAAAUUUAAAUUAAUAAUAAUAAAAAGAUAAAAAGAUGAUUUAAUAUUUUAAAAAUAUAAACUAUAAAAAUGGUGACAUUGCAUUUCUACUAUCGUAAAAAAUAUAAAAUUUAAUUUCAGCUUCACCCAAAAAAAAUCUGAUGUUUUUAUGUCAAAUUUACCAAAAAAAUUAAAUUGAUCAUUAUUUUAAAUAUUAAAAAAUUAUAAUUAAUAAAUUUUUUUAAAAAAUAUAAAUUUAAAACAAUUUAAGCUUCUUUACUAAAUAAAAUAAAAUUAUAAAAACUAUAAAAUUUAAACAUAAAACUAAAAAAUAAAAUGAAAAGGGUACCGCGUCCUUAUUUGGUGACACCCCUUUUGAAAAUUAAAAUAUUAAUUUAUUAUUAAAAUACAUUUUUAUAGAAUAUCGCCUCACAAUAUUAUUUUUUAUUGUUCACUUAUUUUUGUAAUUAAUAUUUUCCUUAUUAUUAAUAUAAAAAAACCCCGAACCUGGAAUCAAACUUUUUCAUUAUUCGUAGCUCAACUUGGAAUGGAUUACGCAUUAGCCUUUGUGCUUCAAUCUACCAUCCAAUCAAAAAAAUCAGGUCACGCUAAACAAAGAAAAAAAAAUUAUGUAACAGACAAACAUAGCGAAGUUACAUACAGAAAGAAACCAAACAAAGAGAAAAUAAAGUUUUUUCUGUAUAUUUUUAAAAUUAAAGUAAAUUGGAGCUGAAGCAGAGUAAAGGCACGGAUUAGACCCCUUUUUCUUCAAAAAGAAUAAAAAAGAAAAAUUAUAGACAGAGACAGUAGAAGACAAGAAACCCUUUGAGUUCCAAAAAUGUCAGAUAGAAACUGAAUCCCCCUCCCUCCCUCCCUACCCUUCUCUUUCUUGUCAUCUCCAUCUUCUCCAACGCUAAUCCAUGAAUCCCAACAAAACCCAAGACCACAUCUUCCAUCAACACCAUGCUAUGGGCCCAUCUUCCCACAUCAUCCACUCCCAUUCACAGCCCUCCAUUCCUCUUCACGAUGACCCUUCCUUCUCCCUCCCCGAAAUCGUCCUUUUCCGCUCCUCUCCCUCGGCCGACUCCCCCACCCCUUGCGAUUCCGAUAACGACGAUGCCGCCACUGCUCACCCCCCUCUUUCCUCCACCCCUUCAACUGACCUAACAACCCCUUCCCAUCAAAUUACCAAUCAGCCCCUCGGCUACAUUAGCCCCGAGCCUCACAUUUCCUCUCAGUUCUACACCUUCAACGCUGAGUCUCAUUCCCUCAUGAUCCGUUGCAUCCGCGAGCAGCGUUUGGCCACACCAGCUGAGAUCCGAGCCGCCACGCCGCGCUCCGUCCUCAAAUCCUGGCGCGCCGUCUGGAAGGACCGCAACGAAGACACUGCUUACCUAACUGCCUGGAAGCGGAUCCAGGACAAGCUCACGGCUCACGUCGACCCCAAUUCCGGUAACGAAUUCCUUUGCUUCAAAAACAAUUCCAAUCAAUUCGUUUCCCAUGUUAAUCAAUGGCAAGAUAUCGUUAUGAGUUUCCACGGAGACGCCGAUUUGAAGCACUUAGGGCUUAAAGAAACAAUAGAGAGAAUUAAACAAGUUUGGACUGUAGGUGCUAAGUUCUACGGUAUUCCCGAGAGUUACAUUAGGGGUUGUGUUGCGGCGUGCCCUAUAUGCAAUGCUUCCUCGGGCUCUGCUUCCAGGAGCAAACGCCGCCGUUUUGAGUACACGGAGUCUUUUGACGUGCCUGCAAAGGAGGUACCUCAUAGGUUGCAGCAGUUGGCUGCAAAGCACAAGGUUGUGCUCUGUAUAAGACAGAAGUAUAUAAGGUAUAAGCCCUUUAUGGCUGAGGUGAAGGAUUAUGCUUGUCAUCGAGCUGGGGAGCCUGCAGCAAAGAAGUCAAGGAUUUUGAAGAGGGAACCUUAUGCAUCUAAGAGGUGUGGUUGUGGAUUUAGAAUUAGGGCAAUAGUGCCAAUUGCCAAUUAUAACGAGAAGGAGAAGACAUUUGUAUAUCAAGAGGAAGGGAUGGCUGUCUUUAAGUUGUAUGCGGUACACUCCGGGCAUGAGCCAGGGCCACUAGACGGGAAUGCAAGGAUUAUGCAUAGGGUUGUUGGGCAUAAGGGAGGAUUUGUGAUGGACCAAGAUAUGGUUUAUGGGGUAAGUGAGGAUUUGGAUAGCGAGGGGUUUGGGUUGAUGGGAAAGGAACAAGGAGACUUGCAGCUUGCCAUUUUGCAGCAGGUGCGAGAGUUGAGAGCUGAAAUUGUGUUGUUAGAAGGGAGGAUCAGCAAGAUUCCUCAUCAGUUACUGGGUUCAGUAUCUAGGGAGCUGUUUGAGAUUUUAAAUAAAGUUAGAAGUUUUGGAGAAGAGGGUCCAAAGUCAAUUGGAUUGCUGUCUGACAAGCCUCAUCCUGAUGACUUGUUGGUAGAAGAAAAUGAUUUGGCGCACUGGGCUGAUGACCACCAUGAUCGGAUAUAUGGGGAUGGAAAGGAUGCUGAAUUGAUUGAAGAUGAUGAUGACAGUUUUGGAAGGACACUUGGGGAUGUUGUUCCUUGGGACCAAAUGAGGACGGAUAGAAGGAGUCAGAAGGAUUUGAUGAGUGAGCCUUGUAAGAUGGAUAAGUGGUUGAAAUGCAGUGAUUUUGACGAGAAGAGCAUUCUUGACUGCGAGGAUACUAAACUAACCAAGUCCAUGAGACAUGAUGAUUGCAUAGGGACAGAUGUAGGUCUUGUUGGCAUUCAGGUUGAUAGUUUCUACCAAGAUAACCCCAAAUGGUAUGAUUCUCCUUGUGGAUUAGAUUCCAGCACAGACUGUGGUGACAGUGGAUUUAGACAUGGAGAGAUUGUGUAGAAUCCUGAUGAGCUUGGUUAACCCACUCUAACAUAAACAUGAAUUUAUAUUGUCCUCUUCAUCCCUUCUCACAGCUACCACUGGAUUGUACAUUUAUGUAUACUGAUGAUUGGAGCUUCUCACAAGCUUGUAGGUGUCGUGUUUGGUUCUGUAAAGUAUAGCCAAUUGGGCUCAUCUGCACAUACCUUAUUCAUAACUAUUUGUUGACUGUGUUGUGGACAUUCAUGACUCUUAGUUAGCUUCUCAUAUAUUACCUUCCCUACUUGGUGGUAAUAUAACUAUUAAAAUUCAACUAAUGUGCCUCUUUAGAGAGUUGCUGACAUGUUCUCAUAAUAUACUUUUGUAGUUUAUUAUAACAAGAUUAAGGCUUUGCAACUUAUGCCCUGAGCAUGGCAGGGAGUCAGACCAGGAUUUUGGCCUGCAGACUGAGAUUGUAUGUGAGUUUAUAGUUAAAAUUAUGUUUGUGUUUCUUAUGCCAUCUAUUGAAUGAUUUAAUAAUACUUCUCCAGGGCUGACUUUUUAAACUUGAACUGCUAUCUUAAGACAUGAUGCAUGUUUGCUAUGUGAUAUUUUUCAACUGAAACUAUCAAAAUAACAAAAUUAUGACUUACUAGGCAGUUUAUUAUUGGUGGGCUUUCAUUGCAGUUAAUAGAUGCGGGGAACAACCCUAUUUUGACAAACAGUUGGUGCCUUAUCUAUCUUAAUUUACAGGAUCUCUCAUGCAUAGGUACCAAAUAUGUGUGGUCUUACAUUUCUUUCUCUGCAGGUAUACGCCAUUUUGUUGUAAAAUUAUGGUAGGUUGCCUGUUUUUAUAAUGCAGUUAUGCUUCAAUUAUGUUGAGACUUUUGGAAAGGCAUUUUGGUUCAUCGAAGGUGUCCAUAUCUAAUGGUUUUCCUGCAUGGAAACCAUUUCAAAUGUGAUGCUUUCUUAUGUAAUUGUUUUAAAUUGGUUAAUUAUCCAUUAUCGAUACGAUGCCUUAUGUAUAUGUUUCAAAUAAGUUAAUUACAGUGAAAGGAAAUACUGCUUGCUUUGAUAAAAGUUAUUAGAUGAGUCCAGAUGGUAGAUAAACUCAAGGCUGAUUCAUGUCCCCAGUUGCAUGGGAGAGAAAUAGGUUGAAUAUUUGAGGCUUAGACAGUGUUCUUGGUUCUAGUUGUGUUUCUUUGUGUAGAAAGCAUGAGAAGCGACAAGAUGUUUUGAUUAGAUGACUAUAUAGCAUAUAAAGGCUGGUCUUUAGUUUGGUGGUGCAGAUUUCAGAUUGAACUGAAAACUGGUUCAUAUUUUUUUUAUCUAGAAUCUAUUUUAGCUUUGCAGUUAAUUUCAUGAAUCUUUCUCCUUUUUAACUUUUUUCCCCACAUCACAUGCACGCACUCAUAUAUAUAUAUCUCCUUUUGGAUUGUAUUUAUAACUAAAUUGAGCACUGACUGGAUUAAUAUCAUGAAUGCCUUCCAUUUUUGAAGGACUUAAAUAUACUGCUGUAGAAAGAAAGAAGAAAAGAAAAGAAAAAAAAAAGAGUUCGAUUUCAUUAGUUUCCUUCCAGAAUCAGGAGUAGUUAAGCAGGACAAAGCCCACUAAGGGUUAUGGGAGUUUACAACAGAUGAAUCAGAAGUUUUUAAGUGGAAGUAGAAGGGUGGAAUCGGACACCUGGGAGAUAUCUGGAGACGAAUUCCCUGGUUAAAACUUGAAGCUCCUCGUUCUCUGCAACUUGGUCAAAUGAAUUUGGGAAACUUGUAAGCCCAACUGAAGUCUGUUGUGGCGGAUCAAAGUGUGUGGACAUGUUAGAAGAAGACAUCAAUUCGGAUCCUAUUUCCGAUGAGGAUGGAGGAUGACGCUGCAACGUAGAAAGACGGGCCUGGGUGUAGGCUAAUUCCGCCUGUAAAUUCACUACCUACAAAUAUCAUAACGUAGUUGUUCAACAUUACAGAAACUUGAUUUUUCACGGUUCAAUUCAAGGCUGAUGUACGAUGAAACCGUGUAGAAAAUUUAAAACUAAACAAAGGUUUUCGAUUCCAUUUCCGAGCAAGAUUACGAACACUCAAAUUUCAGGUGCAAAAGAAAAGAAAAAAGAUGGGAUCCCAUUCCUCUUUACUCUAUUGCUUUUAAUGUGUAUGGUUUGAUCACCGUUUGAAGUUAAGACUUGUGUAUUUUCCUCAAAAAGAGAAAAGAAAAUGGACUUAAACGGGAUCAAAUGAAAUAUGAAAUUAUCUAUUCAUUUCCUUUGUGGGAGAUUUUGUAAUCAACAUAAAUAUCAGGCCUACCGUGAACAUUACAAUCACCAUACUAUUUGAGGCAAUUAAGAUUUAGUUAGAGGAAUGGCUAAGCCUUCUGUGUAGCCCCAAUAAAUAAAGAAACAACAUAUGCAAAACCAUAUAAAACAGAGAUAACUACUCCAAAAAAAAAAAAUUAUAUAAAAAAUACUUCAAAUAAAACAAAACAGAGAAUGUAACACAAUACAUUUUCAAUAUUUAAUUUUAUACAAACUUUACGUAAAUUUUUUUCAUCUAAUAUCAUUUAAUUGUUUAUAAAAAAAAAUUAUAUAUCUUUCUGGGUAUUAAAAAUUUGAUGUAAUUCAAAUUAAACAACACAUCUAGCUAACUAUUGUUUUAUCUAUCUUCAAGAAAUUUAGAAUAGUCAAUAUUAACAUGAUAAUGGUAUCCUACCUAAUUAAAGCUUCACCUAUACAUUUACUUAAACCAUUUAUUUAAGUCACAUCCUUAACAGGUUGAUAUUACCCCUCAAUUAAAUCUAAAUUUAAUUAAAAAAAUUAUAAUUUUUUUUUAUAAUAAUAAAUAUUAUUUUGUUUUUAUAUUUUUAUAUAGAUACUAAAGAAUAAGUACAUUUCAUAAUAUUUCAACUCAAAAACUCAUUAUCAUUUUUAGUCAGCUUUUACCAUUUCAAUUAAAACCAUAUUUAAUUUUUAUAGAAAUUCUUUAUAAAUUUGUUAAAUAAUUCUUUUUACCAUGAUGUAGUACUAUUUUUCUCCUUUCGUAUAUCUGCCUAACAUAUGAAAGUGGAAAAAAGAAAGAAUAAUAUUCUUAAAAAUAUAUCUUGGAAAUGAUGGUUAAAUACUAAUAAUAAUUCCCUAAAAAGAAAAAAGAAACCCUCAAGUUGUAAAUUAUUAAUUAAAGACCCUAUUUAAUGGAUGUGAUGCAGAAGAAUAGCUAUCCAUAUUUCAUGUGGAGUUUCUCAAAAGGCAUUUCACGAAGAAGAUAAUCCUUACAAGUAAAAUCAAAGGAAGAUUUGAUUUUGUUGAAUGAAGUUCACCAUGAUCGAACCUUCACAUGGUAGGACCCAUGAGCUUCUUUGAAAGCAAGAACAAAGAACACACCCAUCAAUUAACUACAUUUUACUAUCCUCUCUUUUUUUUUAUUAUAAAUAAAAAGGGAAAUGUAAACAAAGUCAAAUCCAAAACUAUUUGAAUAUUUCUCGAGUUGCUAAACUUAUGCUUGCUGGCUCCGGCAAGCAACCACACCCACUUUGCCAUUCACCACUACGUGUGGCAGCCGCCAGCCGGGGGAAACCGCAGUUAGUAUGACUCUUGGGGCGCAAUUUCAAUUAAAAAAGUGUUGUUAGCCAACGAAAAAACACCACCUUUCCAAGUGAACUACGCCCGAGUUUCAUCACCACCGUUAUCGAGCGAUCGAUGUUUUUUGAGGGUAAACAAAGCUGUGGGUGAUUAGGCUUAACUAUUUUAUAAUCACAGAAGCCAAGAGAAGCCUACUACCAGGUAGGGGCUGUCACUAUGAACGUGCUAAUAUUAGGUAUUUAUUACCAACUUUUUUAUUUAAUUUUUGGUGUUCAAGAAAUAUUUAUUGGUUACAAAUGUGAAAACCUUGACUAACUAGAUUGCUUCCCCUGUCCAAUAUAUGUAUAUAAUAUUUGAGUCAGUUGUCAAAAUUUUACCAAAUGGACUGCGCGCUCCAAGGCACACGUUUGCAUGAACAUUGAACCUGUGAAGAACUUUCAGAGUUUUGGCCUUUUUCAAUUAUGGGGUGUUCUGGUUGGACUUGGAGGCCUAUCCUAUGCUACGAAACAGCUGGUUAGUUUAUGCGAAAUCUGGGUAUAAGAAUUUUUUUCAAACUAGCUAAGUAGCCCUGCUGCAUGCAAUUGCUACCAGCUUAUUAGAAGAAUCUGAAAGAAUUAAGAAAUAAAUAUUUAGAAGUUAACUGUAAAAUGUUUAGCUGCAUGCAUGCCAGCAUGUCUGCCAUGGCUUCCUAUGAUUGAACAGAAUUUUGAACUAAGAAAGAAGAGAAAAGAAAGCAAAAACACUAAACCUAAUGCUGACAAUGAAUGUUAAAAUAGUGAUGCGAUGAUGUCUGGAACUGGGAGAGAAAUAAUUAAUACACAAAGAAAAAGGAGAGAAAAUCUAAA